rnacentral:rRNA from 1 species
CCUACGGGAGGCAGCAGUCGGGAAUAUUGCGCAAUGGAGGAAACUCUGACGCAGUGACGCCGCGUAUAGGAAGAAGGUUUUCGGAUUGUAAACUAUUGUCGUUAGGGAAGAUAAAAGACUGUACCUAAGGAGGAAGCCCCGGCUAACUAUGUGCCAGCAGCCGCGGUAAUACAUAGGGGGCAAGCGUUAUCCGGAAUUAUUGGGUGUAAAGGGUGCGUAGGCGGUCAGGUAAGUUAGAGGUGAAAGCUCGAUGCUCAACAUCGAAACUGCCUCUGAUACUGUCUGACUAGAGUGUAGUUGCGGAG